UGAGUAAUGUCUGGGAAACUGCCUGAUGGAGGGGGAUAACUACUGGAAACGGUAGCUAAUACCGCAUAACGUCGCAAGACCAAANAGGGGGACCCUCGGGCCUCUUGCCAUCGGAUGUGCCCAGAUGGGAUUAGCUUGUUGGUGGGGUAACGGCUCACCAAGGCGACGAUCCCUAGCUGGUCUGAGAGGAUGACCAGCCACACUGGAACUGAGACACGGUCCAGACUCCUACGGGAGGCAGCAUG
rnacentral:rRNA from 1 species